UGUGGUUACGCCAAACGUCAUUCACCCCACGCCUUACUUUUCAGAACUCAUUGCAAUUUUUUUAUUUCAAAUCUCACCCUAAGACUUGUCUCAGAUAAAUUUCUCAUGCUGAUUGUCCCUCAUAAACUGCUUAAAUGUGUAAAUAUUUUUGUCUCCACUCUCAGCAACACCAUAAAAGCUGCUGAGGGUGGCCCAGUAACAUCCCAUUUUAUCUAGCUUUUACCUUUGUCAGGGUGCAGUUACUGGGAGUAACGUUUUCCACGCUGAAUGCUGCAUCAAGCUGAUUUGUGUAAGUGUGUGACACGCAGUGUAAACUGGGGAGCCAAGCCAGUGGAAAAUGCAUUGUUUUGCCGUUCUUGCUUUUGCUCAUUUAUAGCGAUUGAGAGCAGGAAUUCAAAACUUGGCUAAGCCUUAUUUGGGUGAAGUAAGCAGGUCUGUCAGCCUGAUGUUAGCGAUGUGCUUUUAGCCAUCUUCAUGAAAACCUUCUGAAACCCGGCCAACUUGUAAAUCCCGGAGAAAUCUGUUUGCCUGAGCUGGGUGCAGUGUGUGAGCAGAGUCUGUCGGUGUGAGCAGGGGGCUGGGUGGGCUGCCCUCCAGGUUUCCCUCAUAGGCUGCUGCCGUGUUCUCCUCCUCCUGAUGCUUCUCCCCUUGUAGGUCCAGAAUGAGAGAGUUGUGGUUACCUUUUAUGUUUCCUGUACUGCACUUCCCGCGGCGGUGUCUGGACCUGAUGAAAGGUUGUGGGCUGUGAUGUAACAAUAAUAGGAGCAAUAAUUUUGGGCGAGGCUUCGACAAUACAGCAGUUAAAACGUUGUCAGGAGACAAUAAUGCUACUGUAACUCAAUGGCGAAUGUGUGGCACCUGUCCUUGUCAGAGCCAGUUUGUCUUAAUACAGGCAACAUGUGCAGUGAGCCCCACCGAGUUCAUGAAACGGAUGCGGAACGUAAAAGAACGAGAGUUGUGUUCCCUUGAAAUGAACGGGAGAAAUCCAGAAAACUCAAUCUGCUGCUCGGGUUACUAAGUGCUUCCACAUUGCUUCACAAUUUCAAAGCACGUACGUCCUCUCUUAAAUCAAG
rnacentral:lncRNA from 1 species